CCUACGGGAGGCAGCAGUGGGGAAUAUUGCACAAUGGGGGAAACCCUGAUGCAGCGACGCCGCGUGAGUGAAGAAGUAAUUCGUUAUGUAAAGCUCUAUCAGCAGGGAAGAAAAUGACGGUACCUGAGUAAGAAGCCCCGGCUAACUACGUGCCAGCAGCCGCGGUAAUACGUAGGGGGAAAGCGUUAUCCGGAUUUACUGGGUGUAACGGGAGCGUAGACGGCAGUGCAAGUCUGGAGUGAAAGGCGGGGGCUCAACCCCCGGACUGCUCUGGAAACUGUACGGCUGGAGUGCAGGAGAGGUAAGUGGAAUUCCUAGUGUAGCGGUGAAAUGCGUAGAUAUUAGGAGGAACACCAGUGGCGAAGGCGGCUUACUGGACUGUAACUGACGUUGAGGCUCGAAAGCGUGGGGAGCAAACAGGAUUAGAUACCCCAGUAGUC
rnacentral:rRNA from 1 species